rnacentral:rRNA from 1 species
UUUAACUGAGCGUUCAGUUACUUGACGUAGACCCGAAACCGGGCGACCUACCCAUGAGCAGGAUGAAGCGAAAGUAAAAUUUCGUGGAGGUCCGAACCCACGAGCGUUGAAAAGCUCGGGGAUGACUUGUGGGUAGCGGUGAAAUUCCAAUCGAGCCCGGAGAUAGCUGGUUCUCCCCGAAAUAGCUUUAGGGCUAGCCUCAAGGUGAGAGAUACGGAGGUAGAGCACUGAAUGUCCUAGGGGGUAUUGCACCUACCGAAGACUAUCAAACUCCGAAUGCCGUCAUCUUAUACUUGGGAGUCAGACUGUGGGUGAUAAGAUUCAUAGUCGAAAGGGCAACAGCCCAGAUCGUCAGCUAAGGUCCCUAAAUGUAAGUUAAGUGGUAAAGGAUGUGGGAUUGCACAGACAACCAGGAUGUUGGCUUAGAAGCAGCCACUCAUUCAAAGAGUGCGUAAUAGCUCACUGGUCGAGUGAUCCUGCGCCGAAGAUUUCCGGGGCUAAAACUUACUACCGAAGCUACGGCAUCAGUAAUGAUGGGUAGGGGAGCUUCCCAUACGGGUUGAAGCAUGACCGUAAGGACAUGUGGACAGUAUGGGAGUGAGAAUGUUGGCAUGAGUAGCGAGAUGUGGGUGAGAAUCCCACAGGCCGUAAACCCAAGGUUUCCAGGGGAAGGUUCGUCCGCCCUGGGUUAGUCGGGACCUAAGCUGAGGCCGAAAGGCGUAGGUGAUGGACAACAGGUUGAUAUUCCUGUACUACCGAUAACCGUUUGAGAGAAGGGAUGACACAGUAGGAUAAGCUAAGCACACUGUUGGUUAUGUGUGCCCAAGCAUUGAGGCAGUCAAAGUAGGCAAAUCCGCUUUGAUAAUGCUAGGAUGUGAUGGGGAGCGAAAUUUAGUAGCGAAGUAGCUGAUUUCACACUGUCAAGAAAAGUCUCUAUCGAGGUUAAAGGUACCCGUACCGCAAACCGACACAGGUGGGUGAGGAGAGUAUCCUAAGGCCAGCGAGAGAACUGUUGUUAAGGAACUCGGCAAAAUGACCCCGUAACUUAGGGAUAAGGGGUGCCACCAUCAGGUGGCCGCAGAGAAUAGGCCCAAGCGACUGUUUACCAAAAACAUAGGUUUCUGCUAAGUCGCAAGACGAUGUAUAGGAGCUGACGCCUGCCCGGUGCUGGAAGGUUAAGGGGAUCUGUUAGAG